rnacentral:rRNA from 1 species
UACGAAGGGGGCUAGCGUUGCUCGGAAUUACUGGGCGUAAAGGGCGCGUAGGCGGUUCUGUUAGUCAGGCGUGAAAUUCCUGGGCUCAACCUGGGGACUGCGCUUGAUACGGCGGAACUUGAGGGCAGGAGAGGCUCGCGGAAUUCCCAGUGUAGAGGUGAAAUUCGUAGAUAUUGGGAAGAACACCGGUGGCGAAGGCGGCGAGCUGGCCUGUUACUGACGCUGAGGCGCGACAGCGUGGGGAG